GAAAAGAAGAAAGAAAAAAAACAACAACAAAACAAAUGAAAUAAAGAAAUACCAAGUGGCAAGAUAUUUCCGCUCAAACUGUUUUGUAUUGUAUAUAACUCCACCAUCGAUCUUUUAAACUGACUUUUCUGUCUCUCUC
rnacentral:ribozyme from 1 species